AUGACGAUGACAGAUUAUUAUGUAAAUCGACCUUAUUUCCAAGAUGUAGAGCCCAACUGGCGUCCCUUGCCCUGUCAGUCAGUGGAAGAAUUAGUGCAGGCCCAGAAAUUCAUCAGCUGUUGGAUGUACGUGCUGUUACAGAAGAUUGGAUAAGUGAAAUUACGACCAGCGGAUCUAAUUCGUCUUAUCUGAAGAUUUCAUUUGACGUAAAGAGUCGUGACGUUAAAUGGUACGCAGUGGAAUUAUGGGAUAACAAGAACAAUCUCAUAA